rnacentral:rRNA from 1 species
CUACGGGCGGCAGCAGUGGGGUAUAUUGGACAAUGGGGGAAACCCUGAUCCAGCAAUGCCGCGUGUGUGAAGAAGGCCUGCGGGUUGUAAAGCACUUUCGGUUGGGAGGACUGCUUCUAGCACUAAUAUUGUUGGAAGUUGACGUUACCUUCAGAAGAAGCACCGGAUAACUCCGUGCCAGCAGCCGCGGUAAUACGGAGGGUGCAAGCGUGAAUCGGAAUUACUGGGCGUAAAGCGCGCGUAGGCGGCUAGAUCAGUCGGGUGUGAAAGCCCCGGGCUUAACCUGGGAACUGCAUCCGAUACUGUCUAGCUUGAGUACAGGAGGGGAGAGUGGAAUUCCACAUGUAGCGGUGAAAUGCGUAGAUAUGUGGAGGAACACCAAUGGCGAAGGCAGCUCUCUGGCCUGAUACUGACGCUGAGGUGCGAAAGCGUGGGGAGCAAACAGGAUUAGAUACCCGCGUAGUC